CCUACGGGGGGCAGCAGUGGGGAAUAUUGGACAAUGGGGGGAACCCUGAUCCAGCCAUGCCGCGUGUGUGAAGAAGGCCCUCGGGUUGUAAAGCACUUUCAGUGAGGAAGAACGCCUGGUGGUUAAUACCCAUCAGGAAAGACAUCACUCACAGAAGAAGCACCGGCUAACUCCGUGCCAGCAGCCGCGGUAAUACGGAGGGUGCGAGCGUUAAUCGGAAUUACUGGGCGUAAAGCGCGCGUAGGUGGCUUGAUAAGCCGGUUGUGAAAGCCCCGGGCUCAACCUGGGAACGGCAUCCGGAACUGUGCAGCGAGAGUGCAGGAGAGGAAGGUAGAAGUCCCGGUGUAGCGGUGAAAUGCGGAGAGAUCGGGAGGAAGAACAGUGGCGAAGGCGGCCUUCUGGACUGACACUGACACUGAGGUGCGAAAGCGUGGGUAGCAAACAGGAUUAGAUACCAUAGUAGUC
rnacentral:rRNA from 1 species